UCUGUAGGGAGAUCCACUAGGCAAAUCCGGUGGGUCAUAAUCCUAAGGGGCCGAAGCGAGUCCGCAAGGACACAAAGUCGUAGACGCCACGCUGCCGAGAAAAGCCUCUAAGGAGAUAUCUGGGUACCCGUACCGCAAACCGACACAGGUAGGCGAGGAGAAAAUCCUCAGGCGCAAGUGAGAACACUCGUUUAGGAACUCGGCAAAAUUGCCCCGUAACUUCGGGAGAAGGGGUGCUCCGUUACCGUUAGUGUCCACGCGGCAUGAAGCGGGAGGGAGUUGCAGUUAAGAGGCCCAAGCGACUGUUUACUAAAAACACAGGGCUCUGCUAAGUCGAAAACGACGUAUAGGGUCUGACGCCUGCCCGGUGCCGGAAGGUUAAAAGGAGGGGUUAGCGCAAGCGAAGCUCUGAAUUGAAGCCCCGGUAAACGGCGGCCGUAACUAUAACGGUCCUAAGGUAGCGAAAUUCCUUGUCGGGUAAGUUCGACCUGCACGAAUGGCGUAACGAUUUGGGCGCUGUCUCAACGAGUGGCACUGCGAAUUUGUGGUACCGGUGAAGACGCCGGUUGCCCGUCACAAGACGAAAAGACCCCGUGCACCUUUACUACACCUUAGUAGUGAACGCUGGCGUCGUAUGCGCAGGAUAGGUGGGAGGCUUUGAACCCAGGUUUUCGGAUUUGGGGGAGCCAACGGUGAGAUACCACCCUUACGACUCCGGUGUUCUAACUGCAGCCCGUCAUCCGGGCUCAGGACACUGCUAGGCGGGUAGUUUGACUGGGGCGGUCGCCUCCUAAACGGUAACGGAGGCGCGCGAAGGUUCGCUCAGGCUGUUUGGAAAUCAGCCGUAGAGUGCAAAGGCAUAAGCGAGCUUGACUGCGAGACAUACAAGUCGAGCAGGUGCGAAAGCAGGCCUUAGUGAUCCGGUGGUCCCGCAUGGAAGGGCCAUCGCUCAACGGAUAAAAGGUACGCCGGGGAUAACAGGCUGAUCCUUGCCAAGAGUUCACAUCGACGCAAGGGUUUGGCACCUCGAUGUCGGCUCAUCGCAUCCUGGAGCUGUAGCAGGUUCCAAGGGUCCGGCUGUUCGCCGGUUAAAGCGGUACGUGAGCUGGGUUUAGAACGUCGCGAGACAGUUCGGUCUCUAUCUGUGAUGGGCGGAGGAAAUUUGAGUGGGGCUGACCUUAGUACGAGAGGACCGGGUUGGACGGACCUCUAGUGUACCGGUUAUCACGCCAGUGGUAGCGCCGGGUAGCUAAGUCCGGAAGGGAGAAACGCUGAAUGCAUCUAAGCGUGAAACCCUCCACAAGAUGAGAUUUCCCUGGACGUAAGUCCCUGAAGGCUCCUGGUAGACUACCAGGUUGAUAGGUCGGGUGUGGAAGCGUAGCGAUACGUGGAGCUGACCGAUACUAAUUAACCGUGAGGCUUGACCAU
rnacentral:rRNA from 1 species